rnacentral:tRNA from 1 species
GGGCGUGUAGAUCAGCUGGAAGAUCGCUACCUUGGCAUGGUAGAGGCCACGAGUUCAAAUCUCGUCACGUCCACCA